CUUCCUUUUUUUAAAAAAAAAACCUUAUUGACACCGCUGCUUCAGAUGGAAUGGAAACGGAUAAGGGCGAAAAUACGCUUUCAGAAAGCUAUGCUCGGAUGCCAGAUACCUACAGUUCAAAAAGGAGACGAAGGAGAAGAAAGAAAAAUAAACAUCAUAUAGGUACAAGUAACACAUCGUUCUACAGAACAUUCAAUAAAAACAUUGCCUUUUGAAAAUAAAAAAUGGAAAUGGAUACACAGGUGUAUCUAAAUAUUAAUUUGUAAAAUAUCAAUUCACGGAGAUAUGGCUGAAAUGUAGUACUUUUAAUUAAGGAAUCACUUUUAAAGCUAAAAUUAAAUCUUUAUAUAUUUGAUUAUUAAGCAAACUUUAAAGGUAUGAAAAUGCUUGUGUUUCAAAAUUUCCGAAAACCUCUUCCAUUUCACUCUCUAAUUUAAAAAAAAAUAUUAAAUGAUAAAUCGUGGAAGUAAAAUAUAUUAUGCUUAAAGUAUAUUUUUAUUAAUUCUUUAAAUGCUGUACAUAUUGAUAACACAAAGGGCCCGCAUAAUGACAGUUAUGAAAUAGAUAUUAUUGUAAAUUUACCCUUGAAAUAUGGAAAAUCUGGAAUUAUAAAAUAAAAAUAAUUGAUGAAUGUCGUCAAUCUAAUAAUACAAGGAAACUAAAAUAAUCAUACUUUUUGUUCCAUACAAGAUUAAAUCAAAUGAGCGCAUUGUUUUAUAUCUGCUGCCAAAAAUCUCCAAUAGAUUCAGAGGUGAGAAUAGAAUAUUCUUUACUCCUUAACAUCAUA